rnacentral:misc_RNA from 1 species
GCAAACUUGGUCAUUUAGAGGAAGUAAAAGUCGUAACAAGGUCUCCGUUGGUGAACCAGCGGAGGGAUCAUUAUCGAGUGCCCGCGGCUCGAAACCCCCUGAUAACCUUACCUCACGUUGCCUCGGCGCGCCGCCCCGCGCGGCCGCCGGGGGCCAAACUAGCUCUCUGUAACGCUGUCGAACUUCUGAGUCUCAAAGACAAAACAGUCAAAACUUUCAGCAACGGAUCUCUUGGUUCUGGCAUCGAUGAAGAACGCAGC